UGAAGCCAUCACUCUGAUCUAUGACUGUGAAGGACUGGGACUCAAACACAUCUGGAAACCGGCCAUUGAGGCGUACGGAGAGAUCCUCACCAUGUUUGAGGAGAACUAUCCAGAGGGGCUGAAGAGGGUGUUUCUGAUCAAAGCUCCCAGGAUGUUUCCUAUGGCCUACAACCUGAUCAAACACUUCCUGUGUGAGGAGACACGGCGCAAGAUCAUCGUCUUAGGAAGU